ensembl:lincRNA
GAGUGUUGUCUAGGAGCUUUGUCUACAAGCUCCUUCUGCCUUGCCUUAGAUGGCCUAAUCUAAUCAAUACCGAUACCUAAAGAUGCCUUAAAGUGAAGCCUUCGUGUCAAGGAACAUCACCGUUGGAAAAAUGGUCACCGAACGUGAGAUGGAGAUUAGGAGGCGUCACCUUGUUUUGAGAACUCUGUGGGUUUCCUGGUAGCCUAUUUUCAGAGACCCUGAUUUGGGGGAUCACAUGUCUUACAAAACCAAGGCGUGCAUUGUUGCAACCCAGUUUGGGGUCACCUCCAAGUGUUCCUGGACCUUCUAGACUUCUGCCUGAAGCCCUUAGUGACCUCAGUCUCAGCUGGCGCUCAGUGCUCAAAGGUUAGCAUCGAGGUGCUCUGAGGAGACCCAAAGGGGGCAGAACCACCCUGCAAAGCAUUAGACUUUUAGCUCUGCUCCCGCCCUCUGUCCCUUGUAUCAGAUUGGUUGGAAGGAGAGCGUGGGUUAAGGGGGCAUGGACCUGCCUUCCCCUUUCUGGUUCAGGAGCCAAACUUCAUCUUGGAGUCAGAACAAAGCCAUGGCCGCAUCAGACUAAGGAGCUCCAGCCUGUUUUGGGACAGAGCCAGGACCCAGAAACCAUUGCCAUGAGCCACCAGCUGGCUCCGGUCCCGGGAACUUGUGCAGCUGCCGCACAGGCCAGACUGGGCCUGCACACUGUCACAGUGCCAGGCCCUCCAUUAAGGCCCCCGGUCUCUGCUCUCACCAGACUCACACCCAACUGCCCCGUGGACUUUGGCUCCUCCUGCCUUGAGGUGUGUCCUGGGAUGACAGGGGAGACUUCAGAACCACCGAGUGACCUGCCUCCUCUUAUCUUUCUGGGAAUUACACAGUUGUUCUGGAACCCUUUGGAGAGAGGUCAAGGUAGAUGGCUCCAGUCACUGGUCUGAUGAAAACGGAGGAUUGAAUCAUUUCCCUUAAUUCUAUGUGGUCUAAUUUAAGUGCCUGUCAUUAGUGCUUCUAAGGAGGACACAGGCUUUGGUCAUGGCAGAAACGGAGCAGGCAGAGUGAGCAGCCACAUGCAUCCCGGAAGAGGUACGACUCUUCCGGAUCCUGAGAUGAGAUGAUGCAGGACGUGUUUGGAGCACGGCGGGUCCUCUGGAAUAGCUGGGGUGUGCAGAAUGACGUAGGGGGUGAAAGGAGCUAGAUUGAGGGGUCACAUCAGACGAGAUGGUGACUGUUCUGGAAAACGAACCCCUGGAUUCCUUCCUAGAAGCGAAGCUGAGACACUUGGAGAAUCUUACACAACCGACGAGGUCAAGGGAUUUAAGUUAGCGUAUACGACAAACAAAAAUGUCCGCAGAAGUCUGGAGACCACUCCGGAUGCAUGAACAAGCCAAGUUGAACCUCCUACAGGACUGGCAGACUUUCUCCACCCCAACCAGAUAAACCCCAAUUCUCCUCAAGCCCCCAAAUUCAAAUCUUGAGAGCUGGAAACCUUCCUUUCCCAGGCAACUCCUCAAAAACAAUUAACAUUUGGCUCAGACUACCUGGUACCCUAAUGUCUGUCUAGUCAGGGGCGGCAAACUGUUUCUCACACUUGCCUCAGAAGGAGUGUGAUAGAAGGCCAAUCCCUACCCCUGGAACACAGUCCACCAUAUUCCAGUAGAGACCUUGCCUCAGAUUACGGAACAGGCUAGAUUACAGAAGAUUUCUGGGUGACAUUUAUUUCCUAAACUUCUACAAUAAAGCCUGUUUUCCGAUCU